CUAGCUGUAAACGAUGGGUACUAGGUGUAGGGGGUUUCGAUACCUUCUGUGCCGGAGUUAACGCAAUAAGUACCCCGCCUGGGGAGUACGUGCGCAAGCAUGAAACUCAAAGGAAUUGACGGGGGCCCGCACAAGCGGUGGAGCAUGUGGUUUAAUUCGAAGCAACGCGAAGAACCUUACCAGGGCUUGACAUCCCUUGACCACCUCAGAGAUGGGGUCUCUCUUCGGAGCAAGGAGACAGGUGG
rnacentral:rRNA from 1 species